rnacentral:misc_RNA from 1 species
AAGUCGUAACAAGGUUUCCGUAGGUGAACCUGCGGAAGGAUCAUUAUUACGUAUCCAACGUAUCAAACCAAAUUGUGAACCUGUGUCUCGUCUGGUGAGGGUUUCUGCGAGUAAUUUCUUGGCAUGGUCUCAACUUAAUUGUUGAGAAGAGAAAUCUCGGUUCCUGGUGAAAACUUGUUUUUCGCCAGCUCAUCGGAUGUGGUUAUUUUUCUAUGCCAACCAAAUCUUAUUAACCCCUUGUAAACAAAAUUGAACUAAACAUACACUGGCUUCUUCUGAAGUCCAGUGGAUAAACCGAAACUUAAGAACAACUCUUAACAACGGAUAUCUUGGUUCUC